ACUCGUCGCUAGGACGAACGCUGGCGGCGUGCCUAAUACAUGCAAGUCGAACGGUCUUUCUAUGGAAGCUUGCUUCCACUGAGAAGAUAGUGGCGAACGGGUGAGUAACACGUGGGUAACCUGCCCAUAAGAGGGGGAUAACAUCCGGAAACGGGUGCUAAUACCGCAUAGUUUUCUUGAUCGCAUGAUCGGGAAAGGAAAGACGGCCUUUGUGCUGUCGCUUAUGGAUGGACCCGCGGCGUAUUAGUUAGUUGGUGAGGUAACGGCUCACCAAGACGAUGAUACGUAGCCGACCUGAGAGGGUGAUCGGCCACAUUGGGACUGAGACACGGCCCAAACUCCUACGGGAGGCAGCAGUAGAGAAUCUUCCGCAAUGGACGAAAGUCUGACGGAGCAACGCCGCGUGAGUGAAAGAAGGUUUUCGGAUCGUAAAACUCUGUUGUCAGAGAAGAACAAGUUGGAGAGUAACUGCUCCAGCCUUGACGGUAUCUGACCAGAAAGCCACGGCUAACUACGUGCCAGCCGCGGC
rnacentral:rRNA from 1 species